rnacentral:rRNA from 1 species
CACGUAGGGGGCGAGCGUUGUCCGGAUUUAUUGGGCGUAAAGAGCUCGUAGGCGGUUUCUUUAGUCGGGUGUGAAAACCCCAGGCUCAACCUCGGGCCUGCAGUCGAUACGGGCAAACUAGAGUACUGCAGGGGAGACUGGAAUUCCUGGUGUAGCGGUGAAAUGCGCAGAUAUCAGGAGGAACACCGGUGGCGAAGGCGGGUCUCUGGGCAGUAACUGACGCUGAGGAGCGAAAGCGUGGGGAGCGAACAGG